AUCCAGAUGACGAGUCUUAAAUAAGACGAAACGUGAGUCCUGGAU
rnacentral:hammerhead_ribozyme from 1 species